UUGAUGGGAAUUCUGAUACCAUCAACAAGUUUUACACACUGACUACUUUAGUAGCCUCAGUGCAACAUCAUCUCAAGCUUAUAGUGACACAAAACGUGGAUUUUGAUAUUCUCAAAUCAUGUAACAUAGAUCAAACACCACAGGAAAGAUUUGUCAGAAUUCUUACCAACCCUGCAACAUCAUUUAUCUGCUAUUCAUUUAAUGUGUUCAAACCAAAAGAUCCUGACACUUUGCGUGCAUUAACCAGGAAAAAUUACUAUUUACAGCAAACUGUUAAAAAAAGACUCUAAAAGCUGUUAGCAGUGUUUAGCCUGCCCUAACCGUGCCCAACUUGUUUUGCCAGCCUUCAGGCCUUCAGGCCUCUAUCGUGCAUGCAGGGGAAAAAAAUCUGUAUGAUGGGAUCCCCUUCAGGUGAAGUAUGCUUAGAUAAUAUCUCCAUUACUACGUCUACAGGACCUGUUUGGGUUAUUUUCAAAUGAAAGAAAAGAAGACGAGGGGGGGGGGGAGGCUCACAGCAUAGACAACAAAGGGCCCUGCGUGCAAAUGGGAGGAGGAACUCCCUUUAGGUGAGUGCUUGUAAAACGUUGGCUUUGCACGAAACCAACGCAGGUUUACCAGCACACACCUGAUUUACACCUACUCAGAUAGGAGUCAAUCAGAGGGCAAAUACCAUCUUGAAGAAGAUUUAAUGUCCUGUGGAUCCAGGAGGGAAGAGAGAGAGAAAACCAGCGCUCGCGUGGAGGACAGCCAAGCUCUUAUGGAUGGCGGCGCGCUCAGCAGAGCCAAAUGCAAUCUGACAGCUGAGUUUAAUGAUAUUUAUUUCCAAGCCACACGCUUCCAGACCUGUUCUGGAUCUGUUCUCCCGGCUGGACCUCGGCUCAGCACAAUGCCUCAAGCCUGGUGUGAAUUUACUCGUAAUGUCUGUGAAUGGGGAAUGUUUACAGCAUGUUUGAUUAGUGUGUGUAUGGAGUAGCAUGUGGGCACGCAUUGCCAUCGGUAUGUGUACCGACUCCCUUUACUCUCUCUAUAAGUGUGCUUGCACACAUGCUGACAGCAAUAAUGGAUCUUCUAUGACAGUUUGGAUACACAGAAACUCUCCUGAAGGUGAAUUAGCCAGCUCCUACCUGCCAUCCCAAGAAGGUUAACAAUCUCAGCUGCAGUCCACACAUCUCUGUUCCUUCAGCCCCACCUCAGAGCAUCAGGUCAACGCUCUGUUCAGCGUUGGCUCAAAACCAGGCUGAAGCUGCAACACCAGCUACCAUUUUCUUGCUAGCUGCAUGGCUCUAGGGAUGGAAAUGUCAGUCAGUCCACCACUUGGAAUAUCUCAACUGUUGAAUGGGUUGCUAUAAACAUUUUCUAUAGACAUCCAUGGUCCCCAGAGGAUGAAUCCUAGUGACUUAUUUCUGUGACUUUCAAAUGGGGCCACCAUGAGGUAUGAGGUUAAUAUUUGUUAAUAUGUUAGUAUGCUAAUAUGCUAAACUAAGAUGGUGAACAUGAUAAACAUUACCUUAUACAUUGUGAGUAUGUUAGCAUGAUAAUGUUUGCAUUUAGCUCAAAGCACCUGUGCCUAAGUACAGCCUCACAGAGCCGCUAGCAUGGUUCUUGUUCCAAAAUGAACAACUUAUUUUAGGUUCAACUUAAGAGGUAGUAUUUCUCUGAAAUUCCAAAUCUGAAAAUCAUCCUCCCGGAAAAGUGAUAUUUCAGUGGAAACACAAACACUUUAUGGGUUUGCAUUUUUAAGAGUCAAUUCAAAGCAAACCAAUGUUUGAGUUAUAUGUUGUUUAGUCAUAACCUCAGGGAUAUUCACCAUAAUGCGAUCAUUCAAACAAUUCCCUGUUUUAUAACUAAUGUAAUUAUAUGAAUUGUGCUGAGGGAUUUUUUUUUUGUUCAAGUGGAAACAUAACUGUGCCAUCUUAACUUGGCAUUUACAUUGAAAUUUAAGUUGUGUACAAAGUAUCAUUGGCCUACAUCCGUAAACUGACACAUGGCGUACAAUAGCACCAUUACCUCAUAGCCUUACAGAUUUAUGAUCUCGAUUUGUACGCACAAGUUUAAAUACACACGCUGCGUUAACUAUCAGCGGAACAAAGGCAAUCAUAGUUUGUGUCAUUGCAUAUAAAAUAAUAAAUAUAUGGGUGUGUAGGUGUUUUUAAGCUUGUUGCGUUGAUGUAAAGUGCAUUUUAGGGUUUUGUGUGUCAUAAAGCCCAUGGUUUUAGCACUGCUUAACCUUAAUAUUUUGUAAGUGAGCUCUACAAUCAGUUGUCAUGUCAUAAGCACGUUAAUGUUUACGUUAUGUUAGUUUUCAGACAUUUAGAGAAAUCUCCAGAUCCCAUUUUACUUUGUGUGCCACCUGAUAGAAUUUCAUUGGUAGUCUGCAGAGUUUCUUUAUGCCACAAGAAAAUUUGUUGUACUUAACAAAACAGGAAUAAAAUUCAUAGUAAAAUGGGGUUAACUUUGUACAUUUUCCGACAGACAGUCUCUCCUGGAAGGCAUUCAUAGUGCUGCACUCGGUACACACAAAAAGUGACAAUUGUGUAAAAAAUGAAAAACCCUGGCACCUUUCUCACCUCUGCACUGCUGGCCAAACCAUUCGACAAGCAUUUCUGGUGGAGCAUAGUAGCAGCUUAAAACUGUAGCUGCUAAAUGGAAUAAGAAAAGUAUAUAUAUCACAGUGUUAUCAUAUUGGGCCUUAUAAGUUCGAAUUAAUGAUACAUUUGUCUUUCAACCACAGUGACAGCAGCUGUGAUUCCAUGUAAGGACUCAAAGAAAUAAAGAUUCCCUCUAAAAA